UCCUCAGUGCAGCGGAUAAAAAAAAAAAAAAAAAAUCACACACAAAUAAUGGUUUACAGAUGGAGGAAUCAUUUGAAGAGGGCCGGUGCAGUUAAAACCAAGUGCGCUGAGAUCUGAAAGACAUAUGUCCAUCAUCUAUCAUUCUCACAGCUUUAAAACAAUCACAUCUCAAAAGACACUAUGAACUAGGUCAGGACACAACCUGCAGUCUGUUUGAUAAAGGCAAGCUGAUUGCAGAGGAAUACUUGGGAGUCUACGUAUCUACUUGUUCAAGUUACACAUUUAGUCUGUCUCUCACACACACACACA